rnacentral:rRNA from 1 species
GACGAACCGUGCGAACGUUAUUCGGAAUCACUGGGCUUAAAGGGCGCGUAGGCGGGCUCGUAAGUCAGGGGUGAAAUCCCACGGCCCAACCGUGGAAGUGCCUCUGAUACUGCGGGCCUCGAGGGGGAUAGGGGCGUGCGGAACUCAGGGUGGAGCGGUGAAAUGCGUAGAUAUCCUGAGGAACACCGGUGGCGAAAGCGGCGCGCUGGAUCCCUUCUGACGCUGAGGCGCGAAAGCCAGGGGAGCAAACGGGG